ACGACACCUCUUCUAUAGCUCAUAGACCAACAAGUGAUCUGCAGCUUUUCAACGCUGUAUACAAAGGUGCUCUUCACCAGGUGUUUUAAUGUCACUGGAGAGGUGUCCUUGACUGUGAAAGAAGCAUUUCAAUGUCCUCUACACCCCUAACCUCAUUGACAAAGCCUGGGAAGAUGUCAUGUAUUGGACUUUAAACUUAUUCUGGAGAAAAUUGUGGCCAGAAUGUGUCACUGAACGUGACUUCAAAGGUCUGGUACACAGGUAGUGGAGGAGAUUGUGUCCAUGGGCAAGACUAUGGGUUUGAAUGUGAAUGACGCGGAUAUAGAGGAGCUUGCUGAGGACCAUAAAGAGGAGUUGACAAUGGAAAAACUUGCUGAACUCUAGACUGAGCACCAGAAGGUACUUGUUGUGGAGCAUUCCACCAAGGAAGAGGAAGACAGAGAGGAAGUUAGCAGUGAUGUGAUAAAAAUCCAUUAUGGAAAAAUGGAAGAGUCCCAGGAUUUUGUUGAGAAGCAUCAACUCAACAUAACUGUAAGAAACAGAGUGUUGAACCAGAUGAACAAAAACAUGGUCUCUCAUUUCUAGAGGGUUAUAUAGGGCAGGAAAAAAACCCCAAAUAAUACUGGACAUAUUUUUCAUCAAAAUUGACCCUGCAGCUAAGAGACAAAGAAGAGAGAAACCCCUAACGGAGAUCUCCCUGAUGUCCUUAUGCGGCAGGACUUUCCCUCCCCAAAAUAUCCUCUUCACCACCCACCUUCUUGUUCCUCAUGCCAGAAGUUGCUGCAAGCAAGGGAAAGAAACUAUCCUUACUGAGAUUCAAUACUCUAACUCGCUGGUGGAAAAGAAUCAUGGUUGGUUGUGAGAGUAUUAUUGGCUGCCUGUUCAGCUUCAAACAAUCCCCACAGCAAAAACUCAACACACAUUACCUCAUGCAGCUGUGUAUGCUGAAAAUCCACUGUAAG
rnacentral:lncRNA from 1 species